rnacentral:rRNA from 1 species
UAAGCUAAGCAGUUUCCAGGGGAAGGUUCGUCCGCCCUGGGUUAGUCGGGACCUAAGCUGAGGCCGAAAGGCGUAUGGGAUGGACUACAGGUUGAGAUUCCUGUACUACCGAUCACGGUUUGAGAGAGGGGAUGACAUAGUAGGAUAAGCUAAGCACACUGUUGGUUAUGUGUGCCCAAGCAUUGAGGCAGUCAAAGUAGGCAAA